AGCUUGGAGAAAGACAAGCCAGCAGAAAAUGAGGCGGACGAUUCCUUGUUUCAGGUAGCUGCCAGUUGGCAGCCUAAUUCAAGUUUAUUAGUAAAGGGGAAGGUGGGUUCCUCCAAGUCGUCUGCUGCUUUGGUGUGCAAUUCUUGGUGGAAACCCUUCUUAACAUUUAGCGCCACAGUCGAAAAUGAUCACCAGCAAGGCACUAGAUCAUACGGAGUUGGAUUCCGUGUCGAGGAUAUAUGAUCAGAAGCCAGUUACCAAGUAGCUGAUUCGGUUUAAACGAGGACUUUGAACCAGAUCUUGCGAGAGAGAAUGGGAAGAACCGCAUAUGUGCAUUGUCACAUUUACCAGCAGGGCUCAGAGCCUGCACAUAGGAUGUUUAUUUUGUGGUACCUCGGAUUUCGUAAAAGUUACUUGUCAAUAGAAAAUUUUAUUAAUUAUUAUGCUUCAUGUAUUAUUUUGCAUUUAGUUAACUCCGGGAGAUGAUAAUAUUAGAGGCACACAUCAUGCAGUGUUGCAAAAAUCAGCAAGUAUAAUAGCAUGUUGCUGAUGUUUCUGAUUGAUAGUUCAUCAACGA